UUUUUUGAGAGCUUGAUCCUGGCUCAGGACUAACGCUAACGGUGUGCUUAAUACAUGCAAGUCUAACGAGCAAUGUGAGAGUGGCAACACUCCUGCAAAGCUAGUGGCGAACGGGUGAGUAACGCGUAGGUAAUCUACCUUAAAGAUUAGGAUAACCUUCCGAAAGGAAGGCUAAUACUAAAUAUUUUAUAUUUUUCGCAUGAUUAAUAUAACAAAGGUAGCCGCAAGGCCUCCGCUUUAAGAUGAGCCUGCGUCCUAUUAGCUUGUUGGUAAGGUAAUGGCUUACCAAGGCUAUGAUGGGUAGCCGGCCUGAGAGGGUGAUCGGCCACACUGGGACUGCGAUACGGCCCAGACUCCUACGGGAGGCAGCAGUAGGGAAUAUUGCGCAAUGGGCGAAAGCCUGACGCAGCGACACCGUGUGAAGGAUGAAGGUCUUCGGAUCGUAAACUUCUGUCAAUUGGGGACGAAGGUAAUAAGGUUAAUAGCCUUUAUUAUUGACGGUACCUAAUAAGGAAGUCUCGGCUAACUCCGUGCCAGCAGCCGCGGUAAGACGGAGGAGGCAAGCGUUGUCCGGAAUCAUUGGGCGUAAAGAGCGCGUAGGCGGUUUUUCAAGUCGUAUGUGAAAACUUCAGGCUUAACCUGAUGAUUGCAUAUGAAACUGGAUAACUUGAGUACAGCAGAGGAAAGUGGAAUUCCUGGUGUAGCGGUGAAAUGUGCAGAUAUCAGGAAGAACACCAGUAGCGAAGGCGGCUUUCUGGGCUGUUACUGACGCUGAGGCGCGAAAGCUAGGGGAGCGAACAGGAUUAGAUACCCUGGUAGUCCUAGCCGUAAACGAUGGACACUAGGCGUGGGAAGUUAUCGACGCUUUCUGUGCCGAAGCUAACGCAUUAAGUGUCCCGCCUGGGGAGUACGGCCGCAAGGCUAAAACUCAAAGGAAUUGACGGGGGCCCGCACAAGCGGCGGAGCAUGUGGCUUAAUUCGACGCAACGCGAAGAACCUUACCAAGGCUUG
rnacentral:rRNA from 1 species